CCCAAAUUUGUACUUGAUCUGAGUUUUGUGGUAAUAAGCAUUGUGUAUAAGUUUCAUUAAAUUUGGUUGAGGCAAACUAAAGUAAGAGAACGAAAACUAAAAAUUCAGUAAUUUUUCCAUUUGUAAAGGGGCAUAACUCUAGAACGGUAAAAGUGACGCCACCCAAAUUCAAACUUGAUCUGUGUAUUGUGGUAAUAAGCAUUGUGUAUAAGUUU